GGGCGCUUAGCGCAGGGGUAGCGCGUCUGCUUUGCAUGUAUCCCUCUGCAAAGGCAAAACAUUUAUGCAGAAGGUCGUGGGUUCAAAUCCCACAGUGUCCA
rnacentral:tRNA from 1 species